rnacentral:rRNA from 1 species
UAGGGAAUCUUCCGCAAUGGACGCAAGUCUGACGGAGCAACGCCGCGUGAGUGAAGAAGGAUUUCGGUUCGUAAAACUCUGUUGUUAGAGAAGAACAGCGCAUAGAGUAACUGUUAUGCGUGUGACGGUAUCUAACCAGAAAGCCACGACUAACUACGUGCCAGCAGCCGCGGUAAUACGUAGGUGGCAAGCGUUGUCCGGAUUUAUUGGGCGUAAAGCGAGCGCAGGCGGUCAAUUAAGUCUGAUGUGAAAGCCCCCGGCUCAACCGGGGAGGGUCAUUGGAAACUGGUUGACUUGAGUGCAGAAGAGGAGAGUGGAAUUCCAUGUGUAGCGGUGAAAUGCGUAGAUAUAUGGAGGAACACCAGUGGCGAAGGCGACUCUCUGGUCUGUAACUGACGCUGAGGCUCGAAAGCGUGGGUAGCAAACAGG